rnacentral:rRNA from 1 species
UACAGAGGGGGCAAGCGUUGUUCGGAAUUACUGGGCGUAAAGGGCGCGUAGGCGGCCCGCUAAGUCGAACGUGAAAUCCCCGAGCUCAACUCGGGAACUGCGUCCGAUACUGGCGGGCUUGAAUCCGGGAGAGGGAUGCGGAAUUCCAGGUGUAGCGGUGAAAUGCGUAGAUAUCUGGAGGAACACCGGUGGCGAAGGCGGCAUCCUGGCCCGGUAAUUGACGCUGAGGCGCGAAAGCGAGGGGAGCAAACAGGG